CGCUCGUAGUCGGAUUUCGGGGCGGGCCGACCGGUCUGCCGAUGGGUAUGCACUGGCCGGCGCGUCCUUCCACCCGGAGACCGCGCCUACUCUUAACUGAGCGGGCGCGGGAGACGGGUCUUUUACUUUGAAAAAAUCAGAGUGUUUCAAGCAGGCAGUCGCUCUUGCAUGGAUUAGCAUGGGAUAAUGAAAUAGGACUCUGGUGCUAUUUUGUUGGUUUCGAACACCGGAGUAAUGAUUAACAGGGACAGUCAGGGGCACUCGUAUUCCGCCGAGAGAGGUGAAAUUCUCAGACCAGCGGAAGACGAACCACUGCGAAAGCAUUUGCCAGGGAUGUUUUCACUGAUCAAGAACGAAAGUUAGGGGAUCGAAGACGAUCAGAUACCGUCGUAGUCUUAACCAUAAACCAUGCCGACUAGGGAUUGGAGGAUGUUCCAUUUGUGACUCCUUCAGCACCUUUCGGGAAACUAAAGUCUUUGGGUUCCGGGGGGAGUAUGGUCGCAAGGCUGAAACUUAAAGGAAUUGACGGAAGGGCACCACCAGGAGUGGAGCCUGCGGCUUAAUUUGACUCAACACGGGGAAACUUACCAGGUCCAGACAUUGUGAGGAUUGACAGAUUGAGAGCUCUUUCUUGAUUCGAUGGGUGGUGGUGCAUGGCCGUUCUUAGUUGGUGGAGUGAUUUG
rnacentral:rRNA from 1 species